UGGGGAAUUUUGGACAAUGGGCGAAAGCCUGAUCCAGCAAUGCCGCGUGUGUGAAGAAGGCCUUCGGGUUGUAAAGCACUUUUGUCCGGAAAGAAAUCCUUGGCUCUAAUACAGUCGGGGGAUGACGGUACCGGAAGAAUAAGCACCGGCUAACUACGUGCCAGCAGCCGCGGUAAUACGUAGGGUGCAAGCGUUAAUCGGAAUUACUGGGCGUAAAGCGUGCGCAGGCGGUUUGCUAAGACCGAUGUGAAAUCCCCGGGCUCAACCUGGGAACUGCAUUGGUGACUGGCAGGCUAGAGUAUGGCAGAGGGGGGUAGAAUUCCACGUGUAGCAGUGAAAUGCGUAGAGAUGUGGAGGAAUACCGAUGGCGAAGGCAGCCCCCUGGGCCAAUACUGACGCUCAUGCACGAAAGCGUGGGGGGCAAACAGGAUUAGAUACCCUGGUAGUCCAGCGCCCUAAACGAUGUCAACUAGUUGUUGGGGAUUCAUUUCCUUAGUAACGUAGCUAACGCGUGAAGUUGACCGCCUGGGGAGUACGGUCGCAAGAUUAAAACUCAAAGGAAUUGACGGGGUCAUAGCUGUUUCCU
rnacentral:rRNA from 1 species